GAUGAACGCUAGCGGGAGGCCUAACACAUGCAAGCCGAGCGGUAGAAGAUCUUCGGAUCUUUGAGAGCGGCGUACGGGUGCGGAACACGUGUGCAACCUGCCUUUAUCAGGGGGAUAGCCUUUCGAAAGGAAGAUUAAUACCCCAUAAUAUAAUGAGUGGCAUCACUUAUUAUUGAAAACUCCGGUGGAUAGAGAUGGGCACGCGCAAGAUUAGAUAGUUGGUAGGGUAACGGCCUACCAAGUCAGUGAUCUUUAGGGGGCCUGAGAGGGUGAUCCCCCACACUGGUACUGAGACACGGACCAGACUCCUACGGGAGGCAGCAGUGAGGAAUAUUGGACAAUGGGUGAGAGCCUGAUCCAGCCAUCCCGCGUGAAGGACGACGGCCCUAUGGGUUGUAAACUUCUUUUGUAUAGGGAUAAACCUUUCCACGUGUGGAAAGCUGAAGGUACUAUACGAAUAAGCACCGGCUAACUCCGUG
rnacentral:rRNA from 1 species